rnacentral:rRNA from 1 species
GGUGUCGCGGAAUGUGGUGUUUAGGAGGACCGUGCGCGUCUGUCCGGUAUCGUCCAAGUCUCCAUGAAUGGGGCCAGCUACCCAGAGAGGGUGUCAGGCCCGUAGGACUGAGCCGCGACGGCGUAUUGGGUCUCUCCUUAGAGUCGGGUUGCUUGAGAGUGCAGCCCUAAGUGGGAGGUAAACUCCUUCUAAGGCUAAAUACGGCCACGAGACCGAUAGCGAACAAGUACCGCGAGGGAAAGUUGAAAAGAACUUUGAAGAGAGAGUUCAAUAGUGCGUGAAACCGUUCAGGGGGUUAAACGGGUGGGCCCUCGAAGGUCGAACGCUCCCUACUCGCGUCUCCGCUCGUCGGUCCGUGCCGCUUUUCCGAUCUCGCUACGGGACGGAGCGGUGCGGUAACUUGGCGAGCGGGGGCGUUUAGUUAGGGGGCCAGUAGGACUCCGCAACCGUCUGGAUGAGUCGUCAGAAGGGCCCUGGUAGAAAGCCUCCUCGCGGGGUGGACUCCGGGGUUCCGGGCGAUCUCUCCGGCCGUGAACCGGCAUUCCACUCGGCUGGCGUCUGUGACGAGCUUCCACCCUUUCACGAGGUUGGGGGUUGUCGGUUGCGGGCGUCCACCGGGGGACGCUAGCGGAGAGUAGAGUCGGGUCCCACCCGACCCGUCUUGAAACACGGACCAAGGAGUCUAACAUGUGCGCGAGUCGUCGG